AAGUUUCAACCAUUCUAUUUCUACUUCUGUUUGCUUCUUAAUUCAGUUCUCUCUAGUGUCCGCCUCUUUUCCUUUCUUCUCUUUAUAGCUAAGCUCUCUACCCACUAUGGCUAUGAUAAAUCUCUUUAAGCAUCAAUCUUUACGCUAAUACCUCUCAUAGUCAAAUCAUUUUGUGAUCUGGGUCUUUUUUAAGUUCUCAUUCAGAUAUAUUUUCCAUCACUUUUUGGUCUCUGCUACUUCACAUUUGAAACCAUCAACAGAAACUAACCCACUUGUUUUUUGAGGUUUUAAUGGUUUAUUGAUAGGUAAUCAGAUUUUGAGAAGUGGGAUUUGUCUUUCAGAUGCAGAAAAUGGAUUUUUUAUGAGUGGUGUCCCAGGUUUGCAGUGGACUGGACUCUACUGAUGUUUGGCUUAAAUUGGCUGUCUUGAAAAGAAGUCCUUUUGAGUUGUUCAAAAUUCUCUUUGGGGAGUUUCUUUAUUAUGGGUAGAGGUAGAGGAAAGGGGAAGAAACAAAAUGCUGUUGCCUCUCGUGAGGAUCCUGGAAGCGGUGAAGAGGAAAAAAUUCCAGCAUACAGGAGAAGAGGAAGGCCUCAAAAACCAUUAAAGGAUGAAAUCGAAGAAGAAGAGGAGGAAGGAAACACUGACAAGAUAGUAGACGAUGGAGAGGAUGCAAAAGUUAAUAUUUCUAGAAAGGAUAUGAAAAAUCAGAAUACCAUAGAGAACGGACGGAAGAGGAAGAGGUCUGCUCAGGUCAAAGAAAAUAUCAGUUCAGUUGGAGGGGAGAAUGGCAUUGGAAAAAAGUCAAGUCCCGAUGAUUCAACAAAGUCAGUUGGAUUCCGACAAAAUGGAAGUAGGAGAAAAAACAAGCCCCGCCGGGCUGCUGAAGCUGGUGUUGAGUGCAAGUGAGCUUGGAUUGGCUAUUAUGAUGGUUCUUUACCUACCUUUCCAUUGCUGGAUAAAUCUUUUGUAUGGGGCAAGGCAUUGUUAACUUACGUAUGGUUUCCUGUAAUUCCUUUGCUAUAUGCUUAUUGUUUUUUGUAAUAUCUGAGUUCUAAUUCCUCUUAAUGGAUAUUUUUCAUUGUAAUGUUAUGGAACAGAUUACUGCCAGAAUUUUGCAUGGAGCUACCUCCUUUGAAAGAUAUUUUCUAGUUUUGUGCUAUGUGCCUUCUGUUAUGAGUGACAAGAAAAGUUUCUUUUCCCCGUGCCAACAAUUUUUUUCCUAACUAUGUUAAUAUGAAAUUAUACAAAAAUUGGCCAGAUGUGUAUAAUGAAUUAGCUCAUUUAAGGGAAGUCAACAAGUUGGUUAUAAUAUAACAGGGCUUGGGUUUUCACUAUAUGCUAAAUGCUGCAGCAGCAGCAAUAAGUGCUUUGAUGCAGGUUGGGGCUUGGAGAAUAAAACUGAAGGCUUGGAACUGGAAAUGAGAGGAGAAAUGUUGUGAGUUAACAAGGCAAACUGAAGCAUUGAUCAAAGAUGUGGCUCUUGUAAUGGACUGCUGUGACAUAAUCUUUGAUGCUAAACCAAAUAUGCUACAUCAGGCAUUGAUAAUGUCUUACAAAAUGUAGACAGAUACCUAUUCAGGGUGGACUCCUGUUGCUCAUUGAUGACACGGGAUCCUUGAAUACUCCCAACAAGUGGAAUGAGUGUCCAUUCAAGGAUGGUGACAAACGCACAUCUUGGAUGCUGAGGAGUGCAAAUAAGUUUAUGUACAUGCAGAGAGUGCAUAAACUGAGAUUGUGUGUGCACGCACACGUGUAAUACAAAAUACCCGAUUCCAAAUUUGGGCUGGUUCACCGCUUUUGGCUGAGUUUAUAGUAUGGAUUGUGCUUCUUAUGAUGAUCAAGAUCCGCUCUUUGGUUUAGGUUUGAUUUCAAAUAAACCAACUGAACCGGCUUGGACAUGUGAGUGAUAUAUCAAUUUCUCGUUUUACAUAAACUUUCAUACUUGGACCUGUGAUUUUUUUAGUA